rnacentral:lncRNA from 1 species
UGGAGACAGAGAGCUCGCCGUGUCGACGAUCCACGAUGCCAUGGCCAUGGAUGCUCGACGUCUGGCAGCUGCAGGGGUCCUGGGAGAGGAUAAGACCAUCCCCAACCCCUGCGACAAACCCUAGCUCCAUUCCCCUCGCUCCCUCACUCACCAUCAUCGAUUUGAACGCGCCGAGUGCGCAGCUGCCAUGGCCGUCGUUGUAGCCCUGGCCAGCGUUCUCCUCGUCGCCUGAGUAGACGUCCAGGAGCCUCACCGUCGUGGUCUCCCUCGUCCGCGCCUUCUGGAUAGGACCGGGAGGGCCGCAUCACGUCGCCAUCGCUGGUCUUCUCCGCCACGGUUGUCGUCGUCCGUCGCCAGAUCCCGCUACUCCGGCCGUCCCCAACCCCCCUCGAGCUCGCCUGCGUCCUCCCCGGUGAGCACCGCGUCAAUUCCCCCUGUUUUCCCUUCCGAGUCCAUCGUGGUAGACGCCUCCCCGAACAUAGCCGCCGUGGCCAGAGCUCGUCGUGGCCGCGCUCGCGCCCCGUGCACGCCCUGAGCUCUCUUGUCCGUGCCCGGCCGCGCUCACGCGCGCGCCCACCCGCCGCUGCCGCCUGCGCCCGCGCACCCGCGUGCUCGCCGCCGCUGCCGCUGACUGGCGUUGCUUCUUGCCCUCCUCCUGCUACUGCCGCGCUGCCGCCUGAAGCUCGUCUCGGCCGCACCUCCGCGCGUCUGCCCGUGCGUGUGGUCGCUGCGCCCCCACGCCGCCCGUUGCUCCCGCGCUCACCCUGCUGCUCCCUCUCCUUGCGCUGCUGAUGCUGCUCGCGUAGUGAUGCGGCUGUGCUAGUGCCGUUCCUAGCUGCGCUGCAAACUGCUGCUGCUGAAUCUGCUGCCGAUGUGUACUGCUACUGAAGUUGUGUGCUGCUGCUUGCUCCUGCCGCUUAUUGCUACUAGCUGUUGUUGUCCGCUUGCUGCCACCUCUCCUGGCCAUGGUCGUCAAGGCCCCUAUACACAUGGCCAUGUGCUUGUAGCGUGUGUGUGUGGGUGCUCUGUGUGUGUCCAGUGUGUGUGUGUGCGCCGUGUCACCGUGUGUGGCCGGCUGUGCCACGGCUAUGUGCCUCUGGCCGGCCCUGUGUACUUGUGUGAUGUGUGUGUGUGCAGCGUGUGUGUGGCCGGAUGUUACCGGCCCUAUUUAGGUUAGUAGUUAAUGAGUAGUUAGACUGGUUAGUACUUUGGAUAAUUGCUAGCCUAUGACAUGUGGCCUCCUAUGUUAAUUUAACCCCACCAUUUUAAUUUAUCCAUCAAAUAAAUUAUGUGUCAAUGACAUGUGGGCCACAUCCUCCCUUUUGACCAGUCAAUUUGACUUGCUCAAAUUCGGAUUAGAUUAAAUAAAAAUAUUCCAGAAAAUUAUAAAAAAUACUAUAAAACUUUUAAAAAUUAAUAUAAAAUAAUCCGUAACUCGGAUGAAAAUACUUUGUACAUGAAAGUUGCUCAGAACGACGAGACAAAUCCAAAUACGAGCCCGUUCGUCCGUCACGCAUCCCUAGCAUAGCGAACAUGCAACUUUCCCCCUCCGGUUCAUCUGCCCGAAAACGUGAAAUAUCGGGGAUACUUUCCCGGAUGCCCCCCCCCCUUCGCCGGUAUCCCCUCCUACUACGUUAGGUCACUUCUAGUACCGCGUAUUGCCGUGCUACACUUUGUGAUGCUUUGUUUGCUCUGUUAUUUAUUGUGUUCCCCCUUCCUUACUUUCCUUCUGAUAGACCUCGAGAUUGCCAGCAACCCCAGUUCGACUACGGUGUUGACGACCCUUCCUUGCCAGAGCAACCAGGCAAGCCCCCCUUUGAUCAUCAGAUAUUGCCUACUCUUCUCUCUACUUCUUGUAUUAGAGUAGUGUAGCAUAUUACUGCUUUCCGUUAAUCCUAUCCUGAUGCAUAGCAUGUCCUUGCUACUACUGUUGUUACCUUUACCUGCAAUCCUAAUGCUUAGUAUAGGAUGCUAGUUUAUCAUCAGUGGCCCUACAUUCUUGUCCGUCUGCCAUGCUAUACUAUCGGGCCGUGAUCACUCGGAAGGUGAUCACAGGUAUAUACUAUAUACUUUAUACAUGAUUCGUGUGAUGACUAAAGUCGGGUUGGCUCAAGGAGUACCCGCGGUUGAUUCACGAAUUGGGGGCUGGAAGGACAUACUUUCCCGACGGCCCUCUGUGUGGAUCUUUGUGGCGAAGCGACAGGGCAGGUUGAGACCACCUAGGAGAGAGGUGGGCCUGGCCCUGGUCAGCGUUCGCGGUUAUUUCAAGAUAACACGUUUAACGAGAUCUUGGUAUUUGAUCUGAGUCUGGUCACUGGCCUAUACACACUAACCAUCUACGCGGGGAUAGUUAUGGGCACUCGACGUCGUGGUAUCAGCCGAAGCCUUCGUUACGUGAGCGACUGAGCGGCGCGCACCGCAUUGGACCGUAAGCUCGCGCUUGUAUUAAGGGGGCUAGGUCUGCUUCCGACUGCGUACGCAACGUGCAGGUGUGCAAUGGGCGAUGGGCCCAGACCCCUGUGCCAUAGGAUUUAGACCGGCGUGCUGACCUCUCUGUUGUGCCUAGGUAGGGCUGCGACGUGUUGAUCUUCCGAGGCCGGGUAUGACCCAGUAAAGUGUGUCCGGACAAAAGGGGAUCGAGCAUGUUGGGAAAUGUGGUGCACCCCUGCAGGGAAGUUAAUCUAUUCGAAUAGCCGUGAUCUUCGGUAACAUGACAACUUGGAGUUGUACCUUGACCUUAUGACAACUAGAAUCGGAUACUUAAUAAAACACACCCUUCCAAGUGCCAGAUACAACCGGUAAUCGCUCUAUCACAGGGCGACGAGGGGAGGAUCAUCGGUUAGGAUUAUGCUAUGCGAUGCUACUUGGUGAACUUACCAUCUACUCCCUUCUCCUGCUGCAAGAUGGAGGUUACCAACAGCGUAGUCUCCGAAAGGACUAGCUAUCCCCCUCUUAUUCCGACAUUCUGCAGUUCAGUCCACAAAUGAUACCCUUAAUCCAUUUGAUACCAAUGCAUACAUAUGUAGUGUAGCUCCUUGCUUGCGAGUACUUUGGAUGAGUACUCACGGUUGCUUUUCUCCCUCUUUUCCCCCUUUCUAUACCCGAUUGCUGCGACCAGACGAUGGAGCCCAGGAGCCAGACACCACUGUCGAUGACGACUACUACUACUCGGGAGGUGCCUACUACUACGUGCAGACCGCUGACGACGACCAGGAGUAGUUUAGGAGGAUCCCAGGCAGGAGGACUACGCCUCUUUCGAUCUGUAUCGUAGUUUGUGCUAGCCUUCUUAAGGAAAACUUGUUUAACUAAUGUCUGUACUCAGAUAUUGUUGCUUCCACUGACUCGUCUAUGAUCGAGCUCUUGUAUUCGAGCCUUCAAGGCCCCUGGCUUGUAAUAUGAUGGUUGUAUGACUUAUUUUAUUUGUAGAGUUGUGUUGUGAUAUCUUCCCGUGAGUCCCUGAUCUCGAUCGUACACGUUUGCGUGUAUGAUUAGUGUACGGUCAAAUCAGGGACGUCAGAUACAUCAACACCAUAGCCUCUCCGAUUUAGUGUGAGUAGUUUACGUCAGACCUACGGGUCCAUAGUUAGUAGCUAGAUGGCUUCUUCUCUCUUUUUGGAUCUCAAUACAAUGUUCUCCCCCUCUCUUGUGGAGAUCUAUUCGAUGUAAUCUUCUUUUUGCGGUGUGUUUGUUGAGACCGAUGAAUUGUGGG